CAAAGGCAUGGUCCCGACCUUACUAUUAGCUCUGGCCCGAUUUACACAUGCAAGUCUCCGCAGUCCCGUGAGUAUGCCCUCAAUCCCCCAGUCGGGGACGAGGAGCGGGCAUCAGGCACAAAUUUUUUAGCCCAAGACGCCAAGCCAAGCCACACCCCCAAGGGAAUUCAGCAGUGAUAAACAUUAAGCCAUAAGUGAAAACUUGACUCAGUUAGGGCUAAGAGGGCCGGUAAAACUCGUGCCAGCCACCGCGGUUAAACGAGAGGCCCAGUUAUUAGUAUUACGGCGUAAGGGUGUUUAAGGAAAAUAAAAUAAUAAAGCCGAAUGGCCCUUGCUGUCAUACGCUUCUAGGUGUCCGAAGCCCAAACAUACGAAAGUAGCUUUAGCAAAACCCACCUGACCCCACGAAAGCUGAGGAACAAACUGGGAUUAGAUACCCCACUAUGCUCAGCCAUAAACCCAGACCCCCCCCCCUACAACCAGGCGUCCGCCAGGGUACUACGAGCAUCAGCUUAAAACCCAAAGGACCUGACGGUGCCUUAGACCCCCCUAGAGGAGCCUGUUCUAGAACCGAUAAUCCCCGUUAAACCUCACCACUUCUAGCCACCACCAGCCUAUAUACCGCCGUCGCCAGCUUACCCUGUGAAGGUAAUAAAAGUAAGCAAAAUGGGCAAAACCCAAAACGUCAGGUCGAGGUGUAGCGUACGAAGCGGGAAGAAAUGGGCUACAUUUUCUAUUUACAGAACACUACGAACAUGCAACAUGAAAUAGUGCUUGAAGGAGGAUUUAGUAGUAAAAAGGAAGCAGAGUGUCCUUUUGAACCCGGCUCUAAGGCGCGUACACACCGCCCGUCACUCUCCCCUGUCUAAACGCAACAAAGAUAAUUAACAUCAAAGCACUGACAAGGGGAGGCAAGUCGUAACAUGGUAAGUGUACCGGAAGGUGCACUUGGAUAAAACU
rnacentral:ncRNA from 1 species